ACUUACCAACCCGAUGCAAACUGCGAAUACCGGAGAAUGUUAUCACGGGAGACACACGGCGGGUGCUAACGUCCGUCGUGAAGAGGGAAACAACCCAGACCGCCAGCUAAGGUCCCAAAGUCAUGGUUAAGUGGGAAACGAUGUGGGAAGGCCCAGACAGCCAGGAUGUUGGCUUAGAAGCAGCCAUCAUUUAAAGAAAGCGUAAUAGCUCACUGGUCGAGUCGGCCUGCGCGGAAGAUGUAACGGGGCUAAACCAUGCACCGAAGCUGCGGCAGCGACGCUGAUGCGUUGUUGGGUAGGGGAGCGUUCUGUAAGCCUGCGAAGGUGUGCUGUGAGGCAUGCUGGAGGUAUCAGAAGUGCGAAUGCUGACAUAAGUAACGAUAAAGCGGGUGAAAAGCCCGCUCGCCGGAAGACCAAGGGUUCCUGUCCAACGUUAAUCGGGGCAGGGUGAGUCGACCCCUAAGGCGAGGCCGAAAGGCGUAGUCGAUGGGAAACAGGUUAAUAUUCCUGUACUUGGUGUUACUGCGAAGGGGGGACGGAGAAGGCUAUGUUGGCCGGGCGACGGUUGUCCCGGUUUAAGCGUGUAGGCUGGUUUUCCAGGCAAAUCCGGAAAAUCAAGGCUGAGGCGUGAUGACGAGGCACUACGGUGCUGAAGCAACAAAUGCCCUGCUUCCAGGAAAAGCCUCUAAGCAUCAGGUAACAUCAAAUCGUACCCCAAACCGACACAGGUGGUCAGGUAGAGAAUACCAAGGCGCUUGAGAGAACUCGGGUGAAGGAACUAGGCAAAAUGGUGCCGUAACUUCGGGAGAAGGCACGCUGAUAUGUAGGUGAAGUCCCUCGCGGAUGGAGCUGAAAUCAGUCGAAGAUACCAGCUGGCUGCAACUGUUUAUUAAAAACACAGCACUGUGCAAACACGAAAGUGGACGUAUACGGUGUGACGCCUGCCCGGUGCCGGAAGGUUAA
rnacentral:rRNA from 1 species